CGCCGCCCGCCCCUCGCGACGCAUAUCUGAAACGGGAGGCGAACGUGUUGUUUCGCCGCGUCUAAGGUCGACGUAGUGUUCGCAUGGGUGUGCUGGUGCUCGGAGUCGCUGGACAAAGACGCCCUUACGUAGCUCAAGCAGUGCUCGCUUUCAGGAUACAAUACUUCGGCCACUGGAUGCGUUGAAGCGCUAGCCGCAACUGGAACCCACCCGAUAUUGCGGCUGCAGCUGCAGACGGACAAGCAGCCAUGGAGGCCGAGCAGACGCUUUGCGGUUGGCCCACCUGCGGGCAGCCCCUGCAGGCAAGGCCCGGCGCCAGAUUCGCCAAGUGCUACGCCUGCUGCCACAUAAACUGCCUGAAAUGCGGUGCGGCGCACGAGGGCAUGAACUGCGCGGAAUUCCAGGCGCGGCGUGGGCCCGCAGUUAAGAGUCCCGUUCUCUCGCCCACCUCGGCAGACGCUCGCAGCAAGAACUUCGACACCUGGUCACCAUCAGCGGAUGGCCGGUGGAGUAAAGGCUACCCGGCGUCGCCGAAGAACUCGGCGCCAUCAGCUGCCGCAGCCUCCGCCUCCCCCACGACACUGCAAAGGUCCCUUUGGGUUAACGCCUCUGCGAGCUCCAGCUCGACAUACGGGCCCCGCUCCGCAGCCGUCACACGUCAGUCAACGUCGCCGAGAAAGAAGCCUGUAGAGGUUGACAUGGAGACCAAGCCAGGAGACCAGGGUGCAACGCACCAGCGGCGGACGGCCAUUUGUCGCACCGAGGACUGCGGUUUCGAGGAUUACGUGGACGCGGGUGACACGGAGUUGUUCUGCUACAAGUGCAGGAAGACCACGUGCCUGCAAUGUAAUGCCGUACAUGGAUACCUCACCUGCAAAGAGUAUAGGCAGCAGCUCGAUGACGAAGAGGACGAGAUUCAAGUGCGGUGCGCCGGCACGGGUUGCGAAUUUACAGCCUUCGUUGGCGUCAGCGCGCAGCAACUGAAAUGUCAACUCUGCGAGAGCAUCACAUGCCUCAAAUGCUGUGCCGUGCACGAAUUCCGGACCUGCGAGGCAUACGAGCGGGACCGCCGCCGGUCGCAGCGGGAAACGGCGGCCGCGACGGCUGGCGAGCCCAGCGAGACUUGUCCAGAGAAACCAAACACGCGAGCCAGUCGGGGUGACGACAGCUCGUCGCGCGACGAGCCACCGGCUUGCGUCGAGGCCGCGAAAGCAGCCGUAAACCGAGAAGCACCGAUGCAGAAGGAACUCCUUGCUCAGAAGGCAGCGAACAGUAUGAGCAAUGGACGGACGGAGACCGAGUCUCGUCGGGGAGAAACUGUGCCGAAGGAGCCUCAACCCGGCCGCGGCACAUGGCCCGAGACGGCUCGGGCGGCGGCGGCGCAAGUCGAAGUCUUGAUGCUCGAGUGCAGCGCGUGCUUAGCUGAAUCGCCUUACGAGGACCUUGUCGAAGUCGCUCCAUGCGGCCAUUUCCUCUGCAGGGAGUGCAUUCACACGACCGGAGUUGGCUCGCUCACAUAUGUUGUGCGUUGCCCCGUCGUCACAGAGGGAGGCGUUUCCUGCGACUCUUACAUCCAAGAGUCAGCGUUGAGAUCUGGGAUGACUGAAAGGGAGUACGCGCUCCACAAAGAGCUGCUGCCCUUGGCCAUUCUACGGUGCCCGGUCGAGGGCUGCCCAGGAAAGUUCUCGGUCAGGCCGGGUACGCAAAGGCUCAGCUGCCCAUCGUGCCGGAACGAGUACUGUGUGGGCUGCAGCGCGAUCCACCCGGGUCGGACUUGUGAGCAGUUCAUUCGCUCCGUGGUCAACGAUGGUGCUGCACUGGAUGAAGAGGCGAGUGAGGGGGACAAAUUGGACUGUCUGGUUAACCUCCUUGCCUUUCCUUCCUGCUUUCUCUCUCUCUCUCUCUUUCUCGUACUGACACAUUUCGGCAGUCGCAAUGUGGUGUGUCGCUGCAUUGCUUCAAUGCUGAUCGUACUAACGCCGAUAUUCAUGGUAGGAUGCUUCUGCCUGCACAAACUUUUGUGCCCUUUCGUUUACCCCUUGACAGUCUAGAUUCAGUCACUGUUCAGGGUAGUGGGGAAGUAUUGUUAAUAUUACCGCUACUACUAAACUUGGUAGUAAUAAUGAUGAUGACCAAUGGAGAGGGUGUUCAACGCUUUAGACAUAGGAAGUGAUGACCGCGGCUGCAUUGAGCAGAGCGCUACGGCGCAGUGGCGUUCGAAGUAGAGAUCGCCCGCUUCGAGCUUCGGUACAUUUGGGGCCAAGUGCGAAUAGUAGUCAGGGAAGAAGCUAUAAAAGGCCCACGGGAAGAGCGAGGCUAUGUUAACUGUAUGCUUCAAAAGCAGUGUCCCGUAUCGACCGUUCACCAAUCGUCGGCACGCAAGAUGCUGAAGACUGAGAAAAAAAAACUAUCAGCAGAGUGUCUUCAAGUUCCGAGUCAGUCGAAGAGGAUGUGGUGGUUGAAUGUGGCGUCUGUUUAGCCGAUACGCCACUCGAG
rnacentral:misc_RNA from 1 species